rnacentral:rRNA from 1 species
UACGGGGGGGGCAAGCGUUGUUCGGAAUUACUGGGCGUAAAGGGCUCGUAGGCGGCCAACUAAGUCAGACGUGAAAUCCCCAGGCUCAACCUGGGAACUGCGUCUGAUACUGGAUGGCUUGAAUCCGGGAGAGGGAUGCAGAAUUCCAGGUGUAGCGGUGAAAUGCGUAGAGAUCCGGAGGAAGACCGGUGGCGAAGGCGGUCUGCUGGGCAGUUUCUGACACUGAGGCGCGACAGCGUGGGGAGCAAACAGG